AUGCCUUGGCACUAGGAGCCGAUGAAGGACGUGACUAACUGCGAUAUGCUUCGGGGAGUUGUAAGUAAACUGUGAACCGGAGAUUUCCGAAUGGGGCAACCCAGCAGGCCUAACGGCCUGUUAUCGCUAAGUGAAUUCAUAGCUUAGUUGAAGGUAGACGUGGGGAACUGAAACAUCUAAGUACCCAUAGGAAGAGAAAGAAAUUCGAUUCCCCCAGUAGCGGCGAGCGAAGAGGGAAGAGCCCAAACCGAGAAGCUUGCUUCUCGGGGUUGUAGGACUGGACUUUAGAGUUACCAAGAGAUUUGAUAGUUGAAUGAUUUGGGAAAAUCAGCCAGAGAAGGUGAGAGCCCUGUAAACGAAAUUAAAUCUCCUCUGUCCAGGAUCCUGAGUACGGCGGAACACGUGAAACUCCGUCGGAAUCCGGGAGGACCAUCUCCCAAGGCUAAAUACUACCUAGUGACCGAUAGUGAACCAGUACCGUGAGGGAAAGGUGAAAAGCACCCCGGGAGGGGAGUGAAAGAGUUCCUGAAACCAUGUGCCUACAAGUAGUUAGAGCCCGUUAAUGGGUGAUAGCGUGCCUUUUGUAGAAUGAACCGGCGAGUUACGUUAGCAUGCGAGGUUAAGGGGGAAAGCCCGGAGCCGAAGCGAAAGCGAGUCUGAAUAGGGCGCUUUAGUAUGUUGACGUAAACCCGAAACCAGGUGACCUACCCAUGUCCAGGUUGAAGGUGCGGUAAAACGCACUGGAGGACCGAACCCGUGUAUGUUGAAAAAUGCUGGGAUGAGGUGUGGGUAGAGGUGAAAUUCCAAACGAACUUGGAGAUAGCUGGUUCUCUCCGAAAUAGCUUUAGGGCUAGCCUCGGAGUAAAGGAUAGUGGAGGUAGAGCACUGUUUGGACUAGGGGCCCGUCUUGGGUUACUGAAUUCAGAUAAACUCCGAAUGCCACAUAUCUAUAUCCGGGAGUCAGACUGCGAGUGAUAAGAUCCGUAGUCGAAAGGGAAACAGCCCAGACCACCAAUUAAGGUCCCUAAAUAUGUGUUAAGUGGAAAAGGAUGUGGAAUUGCACAGACAACUAGGAUGUUGGCUUAGAAGCAGCCACCAUUUAAAGAGUGCGUAAUAGCUCACUAGUCGAGUGAUCCUGCGCCGAAAAUGUAACGGGGCUAAACACAUUACCGAAAUUGUGGAUGUGUCCGUAAGGACACGUGGUAGGAGAGCGUUCUAAGGGCGGUGAAGUCAGACCGUAAGGACUGGUGGAGCGCUUAGAAGUGAGAAUGCCGGUAUGAGUAGCGAAAGGUAGGUGAGAAUCCUACCCACCGUAUGACUAAGGUUUCCUGGGGAAGGCUCGUCCUCCCAGGGUUAGUCGGGACCUAAGCCGAGGCCGAGAGGCGUAGGCGAUGGA
rnacentral:rRNA from 1 species